rnacentral:lncRNA from 1 species
GGUAGAUACAGCACUUCCUUCAAGUUUUUCUUUGUUUCUUUUUAAAAUGUGUUUGUUGCAUUAAAGUUCCCAAAUAUCUCCAUAUCCUCCCUUCCCUGCACUACAAAAAGGCAUCAUUUGCCAAAAAGAUAUAUAUACACAUAUAAAACUACGUCUUCCUAGUUUCUGUUUGUUUCAUUUUUCCAUUGUGUCAUUUCAAAGGGUUUCUCAAGAAAGGUUAAAUAAAAGUAGAUAUGGAGUAACAAGAAUAUAGACCUAAAAGCUGGCUUUAGAGUCAGAGGACAUCAAUUCAAACCUUUGUUCUGAUUCACUGAAGGUUGAGUGGGGAUGGCACAAGCUGAGAACAGGUUCAAUUGUUACAGGAAAUUGUUAUAGCAAUUGUUUGUCCUCUGGGAAGUUCAAUGUAUUCUGUAGGCAUGAGAGAGAAAGUAGUCCUUGGAAAAAGGUGUUACAGCAAUGGGACACCAAAGGUCAGUGAUGGCAAACCUUUUAGAGACCAAGUGCCCAAACUUCAACCCUCACAUCACAUGUGGGCCCCCUAACCCCAGAGGGAGGAAGUGCUCCCAUUGGGCUACUGGGCAGAGGGGCGAGUGAGGUGAAACAUGUCAUUAGGCAUGGUGGAGAGGGGAAGGAGAGCAGCCCCCUCCGGGAUGUGUGCCAUAGAUUCAUCAAUAUGGCUAUAGGUAAUUGCCCAGGGUAAUUAAACCAUUUGAUGAAGUAGGCCAGUGGGAGACAACAAUGCAAAUUACAUGGACAAUAGUUUCCAAAGGAGGGAAUGUAUCAAAAGGGAAGGAAAGGUGCCCCCACCCUGAUGAGAUGUCACUGCAAUGGAGCCACGCCUACUUGAUGAUGAAACAGACCCAAAAGAGGUUAAGCCAUUCAUCUAAGAUCACACAAGUAGUAAAUGACAGAGCUAUUUCCCAGCCUUACUGAAUGAUGGUGACUAUAGGAGUAGUAAAUAAGACUGAGCCCUUCUUGAAGGCAGAAACCAUGUCUUUCAACUUAUCACAGGGCAUCUGGCUCAUCAUCAUACUCCUGAGUGCCUGGAAAAUAACAACCCAGAUUUUCAAAUAAAAUGAGCUUUGUCUCUGCCUGGCA